rnacentral:lncRNA from 1 species
AUCGAGAGGAAGGGAGUGACAGGCUGUGAGGGUGCAGAGGUGUGCAGACCUUUCCUUCCGAGAGGUAUGUCAUUUCUGGUGAUUUUACUAAUGAUGUUUAGGUUCCUCUUAAGCUAUUUACUUACCCCCAGCUCCUUUUCUAAAAUAGAAACAAAUGGAGCUCAACCAGGUUUUAUUUCUGCUGUACCUUUGAACAGUGAAGUAUGUCAGCCUUUCUUUCCCUUUUAUGAUUUUGAUUCUUAUACUUAUUCUAUUUUGAGGUUAAUUUAGGUUCUUAUAAGGGUCUAGAUUCAUUUAAUUAAAACUUCAGUGACAAAUCUACUUUUAGAAAUCAUUGGCUUGAUUAAAAAAAAAACUGUAACCCACUAUUGAUAGUGUAGGCAACCCGUCUGUGUUUUCUAGUCAUCUGAAGUUGAUUUGUUUACACAUGUAGGUUGUUUUUGAAUUCUUCAAGAAGGUAAGACCUGUAGUAAUAUAUUUUAUGCAUGCAAUGGUGUUUUGUAGAUGCAUUAUGAAUAACUUUAGUUUUCAAAGCUGAUAUUUGUUGCAGUUUUAGGAUUGAAUGAAUGUGUGUGUGAGUCAUGUAUCCAUUUGGUUUAAAAUCUAUAAAUUUGAUGGAUUCCCCGCGUAUACUUACAUUUGAUAAAUUUUUUAUUGAAGAAUGGUAAGAUGGAAAACAUAAAUGAAUGGGGAAGGUACGGGUUAGGAAAAAAAAUAUGUAUAUAUCUCCUUGCGCGUUAAUUAUCUGCAAAGAGCAAAAUUGAAAAAAAAAAUUAAAAUAAAUUAAAUCUAGAAAAUUAAUUAAAUAUACCAGUUUUAAAAUAAUUAAAAAAAUCAAUCAAUAAAAAUAGAAUA